rnacentral:lncRNA from 1 species
CGGGUUUUCACCGUGUUAGCCAGGAUGAUCUCGAUCUCCUGACCUCGUGAUCCGCCUGCCUCAGCCUCCCAAAGUGCUGGGAUUACAGGUGUGAGCCACCAUGCCCGGCCAAGAGUCUGUAUUUUCAACAAGUUCCCAGGAAUUCGGAGAUCUAGAAGUAUUAACAGCUAUCUUUGAAGUUACUGACGUAGAAAAAAACUCCUGUGGGCCAGGGACUCCUCUGCAGGAUCACCUGACAAUUGUAGUUCUUCAAGACUUUAUUUUCAUUUCUCUUAUCAUCUUCAGUGGGGUUUCUGUUCCAAGAUGGCCAAAUAGGAACAGCUCCGAUCUGCAGCUCCCAGCAUGACUGACGCAGAAGACAGGUGAUUUCCGCAUUUCCAACUGAGGUACCUGGUUCAUCUCAUUGGGACUGGUUGGACAGUGGGUGCAGCCCACGGAGGGCAAGCCAAAGCAAGGCGGGGCAUCACCUCACCUGGGAAGCGCAAGGGGUUGGGGGAUUUCCCUUUCCUAGCCAAGGGAAGCAGUGACAGACUGUACCUGGAAAAAUGGGACACUUCUGCCCUAAUACUGCACUUUUCCCACGGUCUUAGCAACCAGCAGACCAGGAGAUUUUCUCCUGUGCCUGGCUCAGUGGGUCCCAUGCCCACAGAGCCUUGCUCACUGCUAGCGCAGCAGUCUGAGAUCAACCUGCGAGGCUGCAGCCUGGCUGGGGGAGGGGCGUCCACCAUUACUGAGGCUUGAGUAGGUAAACAAAGCGGCCAGGAAGCUCCAACUGGGCAGAGCCCAGUGCAGCUCAGCACUGUCUACUGCCUCUAUAGACUUCACCUUUGUGGGCAGGGCAUAGCUAAACAGAAGGCAGCAGAAACUUCUGCAGACUUAAAUGUCCCUGUCUGACAGCUCUGAAGAGAGCAGUGGUUCUCCCAGCAUGGUGUUUGAACUCUGAGAACGGACAGGCUGCCUCCUCAAGUGGGUCCCUGACCCCCAUGUAGCCUAACUGGGAGACAUCUGCAGUAGGGGCCAACAGACACCUCAUACAGGUGGGUGCCCCUCUGGGAUGAAGCUUCCAGAAGAAGGAUCAGGCAGCAAUA